rnacentral:rRNA from 1 species
ACGGGAGGCAGCAGUGGGGAAUAUUGGUCAAUGGGCGUAAGCCUGAACCAGCCAAGUAGCGUGAGGGAUGACUGCCCUACGGGCUGUAAACCUCUUUUGUUUGGGAAUAAAUGAGACUACGUGUAGUCUUUUGCAUGUACCUUUCGAAUAAGCAUCGGCUAAUUCCGUGCCGGCAGCCGCGGUAAUACGGAAGAUGCGAGCGUUAUCCGGAUUUAUUGGGUUUAAAGGGAGCGUAGGCGGCCUUUUAAGUCUGCGGUCAAAUGUCAGGGCCCACCUUGGCAUGCCGUGGAUACUGAUGGGCUUGAAUACACACAAGGAAGGUGGAAUUCGUCGUGCAGCGGUGAAAUGCUUAGAUAUGACGAAGAACUCCGAUUGCGGAGGCAGCCUUCUGGAGUGCGAUUGACGCUGAGGCUCGAAAGCGCGGGUAUCAAACAGGAUUAGAUACCCUGGUA